rnacentral:misc_RNA from 1 species
AAAAAACUUUAUUAUGAUGAAAAAUUCAGGUAAGCUCAAAACUCAGGUAGAUCCUCCAUCUAACUAUUAAUUAAAGCAAGAUAAACAAACAUAUACGGUCUUUUAGCUUCCGAAUUUAUCCCAAACUGAGGGAUUUUAUGCAACAUGUAUCUUUGACAGUUUAGAAAAUUAAAAAAGAAAAGGGCCGCCUCCAUUUAUAGCAGCAACAAGACUGAGCAUGUACAGAGAGUCAAUUCUUGUGCUUCUGUGCAAAUCGAGAGUUCUUCUUAUCUUCCUCAGUUAGACCAAGGGACAUCUUGGUGAUGAUAGCGCCGGUGACGGCGAAACCAACUAGGAACGGCCAGUUACGGCUCCAUUCACGACGGAAGAAAACAGGCCAUGGAUCGAAUUGCCUCAUAUUUCGUAGUUAGGUUUUCCGAUUGAAAAUGUGGCAGCUAAG